CAUGAGGGAAUGUUGAAUUUUAUCAAAGGCCUCUUCUGCAUCUAUUAAGAAUGUUGAAUAUUGGCCCCCAUUCUCUUCUGGCUUGUAGGGUUUCUGCAGAGAAAUCUGCUGUUAGUCUGAUGGACUUCCCUUUGUAGGUAAUCUGAUCUUUCUCUCUGGCUGCCCUUAACAUUUUUUUGGGGAAGUUCUCCAGUAUAAUAUCCUGAAGUGUGUUUUCCAACUUGGUUCCAUUCUCCCCAUCACUUUCAGGUACACCAAUCAGACGUAGGUUUAGCCUUUUCACGUAGUCCCAUAUUUCUUGGAGGCUUUGUUCAUUCCUUUUCAUUCUUUUUUCUCUAAUCUUGUCUUCAUGCCUUAUUUCAGUAAGCUGAUAUUCAAUCGCUGAUAUCCUUUCUUCCACUUGAUAGAUUCGGCUAUUGGUACUUGUGUAUGCUUCACGAAGUUCCUGUGCUGGUUUUUUUCAGUUCCAUCCCAUCAUUUAUGUUCCUCUGUAAACUGGUUAUUCUAGAUUGCAGUUCCUGUAACCUUUUAUCAAGGUUCUUAGCUUCCUUGCAUUUGGUUAGUACACGCUCCUUUAGCACAGAGGAGUGUUAUUUCCUACCUUCUGAAGCCUACUUCUGUCAAUUAGUCAAUCUCAUUCUCUGUCCAGUUUUGUGCCUUUGCUGGAGAGGAACUGCAAUCAUUUGAGGAGAAGAGGCAUUCUGGUUUUGGAAUUGUCAGCGUUUUGUGCUGUUUUAUCUUCA
rnacentral:lncRNA from 1 species